rnacentral:rRNA from 1 species
UACGGAGGGUGCUAGCGUUGUUCGGAAUCACUGGGCGUAAAGGGCGUGUAGGCGGUCUGUUAAGUCUGAUGUGAAAUCCCCUCGCUCAACGAGGGAACUGCGUCGGAUACUGGCAGACUUGAGUACCGGAGAGGAAGGUGGAAUUCCCGGUGUAGCGGUGAAAUGCGUAGAUAUGCGGAGGAACACCGAUGGCGAAGGCAAUCCCCUGGACCUGUACUGACGCUCAUGCACGAAAGCGUGGGGAGCAAACAGG